rnacentral:rRNA from 1 species
GACGAACGCUGGCGGCGUGCCUAAUACAUGCAAGUAGAACGCUGAAGGAGGAGCUUGCUCUUCUGGAUGAGUUGCGAACGGGUGAGUAACGCGUAGGUAACCUGCCUGGUAGCGGGGGAUAACUAUUGGAAACGAUAGCUAAUACCGCAUAAUAGUAGAUGUUGCAUGACAUUUGCUUAAAAGGUGCAAUUGCAUCACUACCAGAUGGACCUGCGUUGUAUUAGCUAGUUGGUGAGGUAACGGCUCACCAAGGCAACGAUACAUAGCCGACCUGAGAGGGUGAUCGGCCACACUGGGACUGAGACACGGCCCAGACUCCUACGGGAGGCAGCAGUAGGGAAUCUUCGGCAAUGGACGGAAGUCUGACCGAGCAACGCCGCGUGAGUGAAGAAGGUUUUCGGAUCGUAAAGCUCUGUUGUAAGAGAAGAACGAGUGUGAGAGUGGAAA